GAUGAACGCUGGCGGCGUGCCUAAUACAUGCAAGUCGAGCGAACGGACGAGAAGCUUGCUUCUCUGAUGUUAGCGGCGGACGGGUGAGUAACACGUGGAUAACCUACCUAUAAGACUGGGAUAACUUCGGGAAACCGGAGCUAAUACCGGAUAAUAUUUUGAACCGCAUGGUUCAAAAGUGAAAGACGGUCUUGCUGUCACUUAUAGAUGGAUCCGCGCUGCAUUGGCUAGUUGGUAAGGUAACGGCUUACCAAGGCAACGAUGCAUAGCCGACCUGAGAGGGUGAUCGGCCACACUGGAACUGAGACACGGUCCAGACUCCUACGGGAGGCAGCAGUAGGGAAUCUUCCGCAAUGGGCGAAAGCCUGACGGAGCAACGCCGCGUGAGUGACGAAGGUCUUCGGAUCGUAAAACUCUGUUAUUAGGGAAGAACAUAUGUGUAAGUAACUGUGCACAUCUUGACGGUACCUAAUCAGAAAGCCACGGCUAACUACGUG
rnacentral:rRNA from 1 species